AAUGACCUCAAAUCAGGCAAGA
rnacentral:rRNA from 1 species